UUUUUCUUCUCCUUUCUAUUUGCUGCAAGUAGAUUUUUUAUUCUAUUUUGCUGCAAAUAUAUUUUUGGAAUCCUUUUAUGCAAGUAGAUUUGACAGUUAUUCUAGUUUUCUUAUUAUGUAGUGGCUAUAUGCUAUCUAAAUUACACUUUGCAGCCGGAGUUUAAUGGUUCUGAAAAUCUUAAAUUUUCAGAAUUCUAUAAGAAAACUCAUACCAAGAAGAACAAAGAGUGGAUUGAUCCUAUUUGCGCCGUGAAAUAUUCAAAGAUGUUGAGCUUGCGAGAAGAAUCUUCCCAAUCCAGUGUGCAAUUAACAUCAGAGGAGAUGUCUAGGCAGGCACUUAGAAAAAGGAAGAGAUACAUUCUUGGAUUUGGGAAUGGGCCGAAGCCCUCUUCAUCUUCUUCCACACCUAGUCGUGUGUCACAAGACCAUGUUGGGGAGUUGUAGAAACUUAAAGCUGAGAUAGAGGAGAUGAAGAUGGAGCAUGAGAUGGAGCGUGAGGAGCUGCGGAGGCAAUUGGAGCAGGAGAGGAGAGAGCGUGAGGAGGAAAAGAAAGAGCGAGAGGAAGAACAGAAGCAAAUUGCACAUCUUACAAGUUUGGUGAUAGAGUUCUUAAAGGAAAAGACUCAAACGCACAAGUCAUCUAUCCAUCAUGAUGGGGCCAUGUAUUCAACUGGUGGCACAAAUACUCGUUGAUGAUCAUGGUGGAGUUGUCUACAAGCAGAAUCCAGUUUUUGGUUUAUUCAUAUUUUUGUCUACAUGAUGGUUGUUUGGAUGAAUAGCAAGAUCAGAUAUUUUGGAAUUUUUAAUUUACAUUUUGAUGUGUUUGGUGAUGAUUAUCACCUUAACAUAUGGUAUGGAUGAAACAUUUUAAUGAAUGGUUAAUAGGUAUGCUUGACUUUAGACUUAUAGAUGAUGAUAUUUAUAAUGAAUGAUUAUGGAUUCUCCAACA